GGGACGCAGGUCGGACAGAUGGAAAAGUUGCUUUCUGUCUUCCUCCUGAGGAGCUUUGCAGCUUGGGACAACAAGCAGUGUUGUCCUAAUUAAGAUUGGAGGACUGGGCAUUUGCACUCCCAUGUGACCAGCCUUUGGAUGCAAGCUGCCUCCAGGAAGUGGGUGUACAUGUGGGUGGAGCAGCUUCCUCUGACAGAGGAAAUGACACACCUCUGACACUUUGCAAUGCUUGGAAAGUGUCUCAGGUGUGAGUUGGUGGAGCCUGCACUCCCAGCAGCUAAGGUAGAAGCAUAUGGGAAACUGCAUUCCGAUCCAGGGAAGUAUAGGAAGCAGUAAUAAAAGUGGGAAGACCUAUUAUAAGUUCGUUGCAGUCAUCCAGCUGCUGAUUUUCUCUCGAGGGCUCACCCCCCUGGACUCUGGGUGGUCCUGGGAGGAUGUGAACCCUGUACCCUGACUCCCAUCACUGAGGCCAAGAGUCUGGACCCCUCCUCCUCCUCCUGCCCCAGCACAGCAGGGAACCCGGCAGGACAGCUGUCCUCUAGGACUCUUGAGUUCACUCACUUCAGCCACCAAGCGCUGACUGUGUUUCCACCAAAGGGCAGUUCCUGCGGCUUCUACUCCCCCUCUCCAAGGUGCCAGGGUUACUGCCUGUCCUCCAGCCUUCCAUGGCAUCACUGUCUCUCCAGAUCAUCUCAUUCAAUUCUCUCAUUGCUCCAGUGAGCCUGGAUGGUUUUCUGUUGCCGACAACAAAAAACCCCAACUGAUACCAUUCCCCUUCCCCAAGGUCACUUACCCAGGGCAAGGUCCAGCCUGAGAUUUGAGUUCCUACUGAGUCCCCUACAGGGGCACAGCUAUGAGCUGAAUUGUGCCUCUCUCCAGGUUCAUUCCUAACCCCUGAGACCUCAGAAUGGGACAGUAUUUGGACACACGGUCUUUCUUGAGCUAAUACAGGUUAAAUAGUUUACUGAGGGGAUCCUCAUCCAAUACAACUGGUGUCCUUAUAAGAGGAAAUUGGGACACACAUUAGUGUGCAGUGGGAAGUCCAUGUGAGGACGGACAAAGAAGCUUGGCCAUCCACAAGCCCAGGAGAGAGACUCAGAACAAAUCAAUCUGCGGACACCUUGAUCUUGGGCUUCUAGCCUCCAGAACUGUGAGAAAAUACAUUUCUGUUGGGUAAGCGGCCCAGCCUGUGGUCCUUUGUCACGGCAGCCCUGGCAGACGAAUGCAGGCCGCACUUCCCACCGCCAUGGUGCCACUGUCUGUGGACAGCAUGCCAGCCUCAUCGCACGAGUUAUCCCUGAAGAUGCUCAAAUUAGCAGGCUGUUCUUAGAACCAAAUUUCCUGGACAGGCUUCAGAAAACAUUCUCCCUGGUGAUACAGACAUCUGAAAACACACACACACACACACACACCCAAGAAAACAAAAAACAAACAAAAAUGCCAAAAACAAAUAAAAAACCCAUGACCAAAAAAUGGACCUUUGUCCCCUUUCAUUUCUUUAGUAAUGGACAGCGCCCAGGAGAGCAGGAUAGACGGCUCCUUGGAGAAAGCAGAAUCUUCUUAAUAAACAAAUGAGAAUUUA
rnacentral:lncRNA from 10 species